CAGGCCUAACACAUGCAAGUCGAACGGCAGCAUGAUCUAGCUUGCUAGAUUGAUGGCGAGUGGCGGACGGGUGAGUAAUGUCUGGGAAACUGCCUGAUGGAGGGGGAUAACUACUGGAAACGGUAGCUAAUACCGCAUAACGUCGCAAGACCAAAGAGGGGGACCUUAGGGCCUCUUGCCAUCGGAUGUGCCCAGAUGGGAUUAGCUAGUAGGUGGGGUAACGGCUCACCUAGGCGACGAUCCCUAGCUGGUCUGAGAGGAUGACCAGCCACACUGGAACUGAGACACGGUCCAGACUCCUACGGGAGGCAGCAGUGGGGAAUAUUGCACAAUGGGCGCAAGCCUGAUGCAGCCAUGCCGCGUGUAUGAAGAAGGCCUUCGGGUUGUAAAGUACUUUCAGCGGGGAGGAAGGGAGUAAAGUUAAUACCUUUGCUCAUUGACGUUACCCGCAGAAGAAGCACCGGCUAACUCCGUGCCAGCAGCCGCGGUAAUACGGAGGGUGCAAGCGUUAAUCGGAAUUACUGGGCGUAAAGCGCACGCAGGCGGUUUGUUAAGUCAGAUGUGAAAUCCCCGGGCUCAACCUGGGAACUGCAUCUGAUACUGGCAAGCUUGAGUCUCGUAGAGGGGGGGUAGAAUUCCAGGUGUAGCGGUGAAAUGCGUAGAGAUCUGGAGGAAUACCGGUGGCGAAGGCGGCCCCCUGGACCA
rnacentral:rRNA from 1 species